rnacentral:rRNA from 1 species
AGAGUUUGAUCCUGGCUCAGGAUGAACGCUGGCGGCGUGCCUAACACAUGCAAGUCGAACGGAGUUACUUUGGUGAAGUUUUCGGAUGGAUCUGAUUUAACUUAGUGGCGGACGGGUGAGUAAUGCGUGAGCAACCUGCCCUUCAGAGGGGGACAACAGUUGGAAACGACUGCUAAUACCGCAUAAUGUAUUCGGAAGGCAUCUUCUGGAUACCAAAGGAGAAAUCCGCUGAUGGAUGGGCUCACGUCUGAUUAGCUAGUUGGUGAGGUAACGGCUCACCAAGGCUGCGAUCAGUAGCCGGACUGAGAGGUUGAACGGCCACAUUGGGACUGAGAUACGGCCCAGACUCCUACGGGAGGCAGCAGUGGGGAAUAUUGGGCAAUGGGCGAAAGCCUGACCCAGCAACGCCGCGUGAAGGAAGAAGGCCUUCGGGUUGUAAACUUCUUUUACCAGGGACGAAGAAGUGACGGUACCUCGAAUAAGCCACGGCUAACUACGUGCCAGCAGCCGCGGUAAUACGUAGGUGGCAAGCGUU